AUCUAAAAUAAUAAUUAAAAUAUUUUAAAAAUAAUUUUUAAAAAAUUGAUUCACAUCAAACUAGGACAACCUUUUCAAUAUAGAAGGUAAACCCUGUACCAAGAUAACCUUAUACCAGUCCGAUGUGAAUAUUUAAUCAUGCUAAUUUUAGAUUUAAUAUGAAUAAAGAUAUAUCAUAUACAUCAAUUUUUAGAUCUAAAAGAUUGAUUUAAAUAUUUUAAAAAUAAUUUUUAAAAUCGAUCAAUCUUGUACUAGGAUAAAUUUUUUAAUAUAGAGGAAAAAUAUUAUACUAGGAUAACCUUAUACCAGCACAA
rnacentral:lncRNA from 1 species